rnacentral:rRNA from 1 species
GACGAACGCUGGCGGCGUGCCUAAUACAUGCAAGUAGAACGCAGUUGCGAACGGGUGAGUAACGCGUAGGUACCUGCCUCAUAGCGGGGGACAACUAUUGGAAACGAUAGCUAAUACCGCAUACUGUGAGAUGGACCUGCGGUGUAUUAGCUAGUUGGUGAGGUAAAGGCUGACCAAGGCGACGAUACAUACCCGACCUGGGAGGGGGGUCGGGCAAACUGGGACUUGGGCACGGGCCAGAAUCCUACGGGGGGGAACAGUAGGGGAACUUCGGGAAUGGGCGGAAAGCUGGCCGGGCCACGCCGCGGGGGUGAAGGAGGUUUUCGGGUCGUAAAGCUCUGUUGGUAGGGGAGCGGUAACUAACCAGAAAGGGACGGCUAACUACGUGCCAGCAGCCGCGGUAAUUC